rnacentral:rRNA from 1 species
AAUAUUGCACAAUGGGCGCAAGCCUGAUGCAGCCAUGCCGCGUGUAUGAAGAAGGCCUUCGGGUUGUAAAGGUACUUUCAGCAGUGAGGAAGGUGGAUAUGUUAAUAGCAUAUUCAUUUGACGUUAGCUGCAGAAGAAGCACCGGCUAACUCCGUGCCAGCAGCCGCGGUAAUACGGGAGGGUGCGAGCGUUAAUCGGAAUUACUGGGCGUAAAGCGCAUGCAGGUGGUUUGUUAAGUCAGAUGUGAAAGCCCGGGGCUCAACCUCGGAAUUGCAUUUGAAACUGGCAAACUAGAGUACUGUAGAGGGGGUAGAAUUUCAGGUGUAGCGGUGAAAUGCGUAGAGAUCUGAAGGAAUACCGGUGGCGAAGGCGGCCCCCUGGACAGAUACUGACACUCAGAUGCGAAAGCGUGGGGAGCAAACAGGAUUAGAUACCCUGGUAG